rnacentral:siRNA from 1 species
UAUAAUUCAAGGCGGUCCGAA